rnacentral:rRNA from 1 species
AAUACCCAAUCCUGACACAGGGAGGUAGUGACAAGAAAUAACAAUACGGGGCUUAAUGUCUUGUAAUUGGAAUGAUGGGAAUCUAAACCUCUUCCAGAGUAUCAAUUGGAGGGCAAGUCUGGUGCCAGCAGCCGCGGUAAUUCCAGCUCCAAUAGCGUAUAUUAAAAUUGUUGCAGUUAAAAAGCUCGUAGUUGAACUUCAGCCGUCGUCGUAGCCACCUUAGGGUCGGCGUCGCGUUGGCUUAUCUUUUUACUUUGAGAAAAUUAGAGUGUUUCAAGCAGACUUUUGUCUUGAAUACUUCAGCAUGGAAUAAUAGAGUAGGACUUGGGUUCUAUUUUGUUGGUUUGUGAGCCUGAGUAAUGGUUAAUAGGAACGGUUGGGGGCAUUCGUAUUUAA